UCUAUCUCCUGUUUUACUCUUUAUUCUUCUAUCUGCUGUUUUAUUCUUUUAUACACUAUGAAUUCUCUGUCUGGAACUUUCCUACAUACCUUGUCUCCGAUGAUGGAAUACUUAGUUUAUGGAGAAGCUGACCCAUCAUCCGGGAUAUCUCAGAGUAAUUAAUAUAAGACAUUAAUUACUUCUAAUUCACCUUUCUCUAAUUAAAUACUCUAAAUGACCUGAGAUACUCGCCCUGCCUUAGUUUUGUUGUCCUUUUUCUAGUAAUAUAUACCUGUUAACUCGGAGGUCUACUACAGAUCCCUACCUCAGCCACAGCUGU